GGGGACGACAUGGCUUCGACGUGGGUUACAAAACCUUAGGUGCAUGUCGAGGGGGCAAUCACCCUCGUUAAUCCAUAAUUGCACAUUCUUAGUUGCCAACGACGACAACUACGCUUUAGCAGCUUAACAGCUGCUGACUACCUAGACGGUUUGUCUGUGGGGUGCUCUAGGUAGACAAUUAACACAGAAUAAGUUUCGCUAGUGCCCGACUAGUGAGAUCGAAAAUCUUAGGGCUCGCUUCCGUGCAUCCUGUCAGUCGGAUAAUCGGCGGUUAAAUUUGAAGACUUGACUAAGCAUGUAGUACCGAGGGCAGAGGAUUUGCGGACGCGGGUUCGAUUCCCGCCGUCUCCACCA
rnacentral:tmRNA from 1 species